UUUGAUUAUCUAUUGUGGUUUCUUGUUUGAUUAAUCGUCGUAUUUGGUUCUUUGCUCGUUGUUCCGUUUUAGAAGAUUAGGUUGUAGAUCCAUUUGGCAGCAUCCUCUUCUUCGUACUUUCCAUUAAUAGUGCGUAUUGAUCCCUGGUUAAUACUAUAUGAGAAAUUCCUCGAAUAGUGUUUUUAAAGUUUUUGUCACAAAAAUAGUUUUAAAUGAGAAUAAUCAUCAAAAAUUUU
rnacentral:lncRNA from 1 species